UGGAACGGAACGUUCCACAGCUGUCAAAAUAAUUUUACAGAAUCUAUUGUAAUUGUUUAAGGGUUCAUUGACAUCAUACUCGAAAUCCAAAAGUAAUUGAUUAACAGUUUCAGAAUAAAGAUCCCAAUUAACGAGACAUGCUGCAACGCUCAGAAUUCUUACAGAAUUUAGCUAAAUGUCCAUACCUCAAGCACCGGUAGCAUUGUUUAACUGGUGGUAUAUAUGGAGUGACAUUGUGGCGCCAACCUCCAAUAUCCAGAUAUUCAGGUAAUACAGAUGCAGCAAAAGUAAUUGUCACGGUUAGAGUUGGCUGUAACACAUAUCCAUGAGUCAAGAUUCUGAGUCAGUAGAAGUAUCUUCCGAAUAUAUAUCCUUGUCAUUACAAGGUUCAUGGUCUACAUCACCUGAAUCGUCAUCUUUUUUUUUCCUUUUUCUACAACUCCGCUUCCCCAUGAAUGCUAAUUAUAUUACUGUCGCUGAAUUUAGUGAAAAUAUAAUAUUUUAUUCAAUAAUAAGAAUUGAUAGAGAUAGUUUUAAUAAAUUAAUAAAAAAAAUUUAAAAAACCCGCUUGUUCUUAUUCGAGUUUCCCGCCUU